UACGUAGGGGGGCGAGCGUUUAUCCGGAUUUACUGGGCGUAAAGCGCGUUAAGGCGGUCGGCAAAGUUGGUUGUGAAAUCUCAGGGCUCAACCCUGAAAUUGCGACCAAUACUGGUCGACUAGAGUGCAAGAGAGGAAGGUGGAAUUCCCGGUGUAGUAGUGAAAUGCGUAGAUAUCGGGAGGAACACCAGUGGCGAAGGCGGCCUCUGGCUUGUAACUGACGCUGUAGCGCGAAAGCGUGGGGAGCGAACCGGG
rnacentral:rRNA from 1 species